AGUGAACGCUGGCGGUAGGCCUAACACAUGCAAGUCGAACGGCAGCACAGUAAGAGCUUGCUCUUACGGGUGGCGAGUGGCGGACGGGUGAGGAAUACAUCGGAAUCUACUUUUUCGUGGGGGAUAACGUAGGGAAACUUACGCUAAUACCGCAUACGACCUACGGGUGAAAGCAGGGGAUCUUCGGACCUUGCGCGAUUGAAUGAGCCGAUGUCGGAUUAGCUAGUUGGCGGGGUAAAGGCCCACCAAGGCGACGAUCCGUAGCUGGUCUGAGAGGAUGAUCCGCCACCCUGGAACUGAGACACGCUCCAGACUCCUACGGGAGGCAGCAGUGGGGAAUAUUGGACACUGGGCGCAAUCCUGAUCCAGCCAUACCGCGUGGGUGAAGAAGGCCUUCGGGUUGUAAAGCCCUUUUGUUGGGAACGAAAAGCAGCAGGUUAAUACCCCGCUGUUCUGACGGUACCCAAAGAAUAAGCACCGGCUAACUUCGUG
rnacentral:rRNA from 1 species